AUUGAACGCUGGCGGCAGGCCUAACACAUGCAAGUCGAGCGGAUGAGUGGAGCUUGCUCCAUGAUUCAGCGGCGGACGGGUGAGUAAUGCCUAGGAAUCUGCCUGGUAGUGGGGGACAACGUUUCGAAAGGAACGCUAAUACCGCAUACGUCCUACGGGAGAAAGCAGGGGACCUUCGGGCCUCGCGCUAUCAGAUGAGCCUAGGUCGGAUUAGCUAGUAGGUGAGGUAAUGGCUCACCUAGGCGACGAUCCGUAACUGGUCUGAGAGGAUGAUCAGUCACACUGGAACUGAGACACGGUCCAGACUCCUACGGGAGGCAGCAGUGGGGAAUAUUGGACAAUGGGCGAAAGCCUGAUCCAGCCAUGCCGCGUGUGUGAAGAAGGUCUUCGGAUUGUAAAGCACUUUAAGUUGGGAGGAAGGGCAGUAAGUUAAUACCUUGCUGUUUUGACGUUACCAACAGAAUAAGCACCGGCUAACUUCGUGCCAGCAGCCGCCGUAAGAC
rnacentral:rRNA from 1 species